AAAGCAAAAUAAUAACUGGAGGGAAACGAGAAAAAGAAAAAUAAGAAAAAAAAAGGGAUGGAAUGAAGAAAGAGUGAGGGAAGUUAAAGAAGACGAGAUCCGUAUCGUAAAAGGGAAGGUGGCAAAGGGAAAGAACGACGUGGAGGAGAGGAGGCCGUUUAGAAAGAAAAAGAGGGAGUUAAAAUAAAAAAGAGUGGCAAAAAGAUAAAGGAAGGAUAAAAAAAGAAUCGAGGAAGAUUCCGCAUCGUAAAAAAGGAAAGGCUUGUAAACACGAGAGAAGAGAAAGAACGAUGUGGGAAAGGAGAUAAAUCAAGAGAAAAGGGUCGAAAAAAAUCAAAGCAAAAGAAAAAAAAAGAAGAAGAAAAAUAGGGAAGAAAAAGUCGACGAGGUUACGCGCGAUGUACGGGUUAACACGAGCGGGAACGUGCGUGAAUCUGCGUGCGCAUGCACACUUGCGAAGAGGUGUACGGGGGCCAUGAAUGUUGGCACAAGGGGUGGUAAGCUCGUGCCACGCACCAACACACGGUUGCAAGUUAAGCGGUUGGUCGCGAGCAUGCACUCGCGCCUGCAUGUAUACGUGUCCUCUCUAAGAGCUACCCCUCAAGUGAGAUAUGGAUCUUCCGCCUCGUUGAACAUACAGAACAGAACGUUACGUUACGUUACGCGCGGUGGGAAGGGGUUGCCAGUGAAUGUAAACCGCAAUACCGCCCCGCGGCGUCCACUCGACGCUGCACUAUUGAUAUGAACCACCUAUCUCCGCCCUGUCUUCCUCCUCGCCUUUCCGCCGUCGUGUCGUCGAAUCGUCAACGCGGCGCAUCCACCUUUUACACGGAGUUGUUGUUCACCUUGCGUUGAACAGCUUCACCUCAUCGUUCGAACAAUCAUCGUCGAAUAAGAUGAUAUGGUGUUGAGAUGUUUUCCGAUGACGGUUCUCUUUUUUUCAUCUAAAAAGAAGUUGGGAAUGAAAUUUAUAAUUUUAUUUAAAUGACGAAACGAAGAAAGAUUUCUUCUAUAAGAAGAGAGUACGAUGAUGUAAAGAGAUUGAUUCGUUUCCAUUCUUCGCUUUUGUUUUUACAUUCUCGAAGAUAGAAGGCGAGCAAACGGUUGGGUAACAACGAAAUUGAUUAAGAUAGUGGCGUUUGCAAACGAUAAACAGUAAUUGUCCGUCAAUAACGGAGACCGUGCACGGUUAUAUGCAUAAUCGUGUACCACUCUGUGCAUCUCUACGUAUAACAAUAAUAGGAUGUUAGGUUACGUCACGCGUAAUGGUUAGGGGUUAGCCGAGUGAAUGUAAACCGCAACCCUACCCCCAUGACGUUCAUGCAACAUUACUAUUAAUACGAUGCAACGUCCCAUUCGCUUUUCCAACGUGAAAUCGAACGGGCCUCGCUUCUCUCCCUCGACGAAAUUUAUGCGUUAUCUUAAGUCACGAAUUCACGAUCUCGUACUCUUUGCAUUUCGUGGAUCGUAAACGAGUUUUAGAAUUUAAUUACAGAUUAUCUUUUAAUUGAAGAGAAGGAAUUUGUUAUAAAUAUUUUAUCAUUCAUUUGCACAAAAGGCCUUGACAAACGAAUUAGAAAUAACUGGUGUAUGGAAAAAUUGAGAAAGAUAAAUAAAUAGAGCAACCAUGUCAUCCAGAAAUUCUCUAUGAAAUUUCGAAAAUAAAUUUUGAAAAUACUUCAUUCGUUCAACUUUCACUGUGAUCGAAUCAUUCUUAAUCCGAAGUUGCAAAACUCUAGAUUUUCAAACGUUCCACGAUCCACGAAGAAAAGAAAGAAAGGAGUGAAAAAAAUAAAAGGAAAAGGAAAAAAAAGAAAAUGAAGAGCCAUUGUCCGGAAUUCUUGGCAAAGUCGUUCCAUUCAAGAUCCCAGUUCAGGGAUAUCGAGGGAAUUCGAUGAAAUUAAUAGCAACCGGCUGUUCUUGAAUUAUCGUAUACUCGAGUGGCGCAACGCAGGGAUGAAUUAAAGCCCCUCUCCAUCCCCUUUAAGCGUCAGACAAAGCCUGAAGUUUAAGCAGGAUUCGUCCGGUCUACUACGAUGAAUACGGCGAUAUAAAUCAGCUUCGUUAUAGAAAGUGCAGCCGGAAACCCGCCUCUAAAAGAGAAUACUCGUAAUACAUAAUACAGUAGUCGAAUAUAGUAGCUUUCGCGCUUCCCUCGCGGUGAUUUCAAUUAAUUCGUGGACUUGUACACGAGUUGACCAAGAGGUUUAUAUAUAUAUAUACGAUUCAAAGUUUUGUUUUGAAGAUGGAAAUACCACGUCAAUUAAUCCUUAAUCGAAUUUGAGAUGAACAGGAUUCGAGGAUUUAUGAUGAAUGUUUGAAUCGAUCUGAAAAGUAAUUUAUUUUGUUUCACUUGUAUAAUUUGAAUACGUUCGAUUUCGAUUAUUUCCGGGAUGUUAAAAUCUUGCAGCGAAUCGUUUUCGUAUUUUAUUAUUAUUAUCGCGUCAUUAACGUAUCGGAUUUCGUCUCGUUUACGUUGUAAUUAGUGUAUUCGUCAAACCAAUGCCUACUCUAAUUUUGCGUGAAAAUAUAAAGUCGUGUGUGGCGUAGAAAGGCAGCGUUGGAUGAUGUGGAAAAGGGAACGCGGAUUAUGUAAUGUAUUUGAAACGUUUAUUAGCGAUUGAACUAUAGAUCCAUUGAAAUUGGCGGCUCAUUCACCGGACGCUAAUUUUAUCAACCAAUACCGAAGUUUCGGUUUUCAAUAUCAAAGUUCCCCGCUCUGUUAAUUAAUGAAAUUCGCCGUGCUUCGUUUUUUGAUCGUUCAAACGAGGUAAUAUUUUUUUCCUAAACUCGUCAAAGAUUUAUUUUCAUUCGAUCAUGUGUUCUCAUCUGUUUUUACAAAUUUAAUGAAAAAAAAGGAUGAAAUUUACUGAAAUUACAUAGGUAAUUUUAUUGUUGUCGAUACAAAAGAAUUUAAGAAUUAAGAAUUUAAUAAUGCAAAUGUAUAAAUAUAUAGAAAGAGAGAGAGAGAGAUCGAUAUACUGACAUAACUAUUGAAAGAUCUUUGGAACAUGCAUAAAUGCAAAUGUAUGGAGCACAGUGUACGGAGGUAUCUAUGGUUCGAUAAAUACAGUCCUAAAAUUGAGGAACUCGAUGUAGACAAUCAUGAAUACACGGAAUCGGAAUCCGACGAAUUUAAACCCUAUAGAACUCGAUACAAGCAAGCUACGGUUCAUGAGUUUCUACAUUCUGUGAAAUCUAGAAAUGCUAUUCAAGCGGCUGUAUGUAUUCGUAAGAGCUGAAUAACAUUACGUAAUAUUGAAUUUAUGAAUUUCAAAAUUAAAAUUUACCCUCAACAAUUGA